UACGGAAGGCAGCAGUGGGGAAUAUUGCACAAUGGGCGCAAGCCUGAUGCAGCCAUGCCGCGUGUAUGAAAAAGGCCUUCGGGUUGUAAAGUACUUUCAGUCGUGAGGAAGGUGUUAAGGUUAAUAACCUUAGCAAUUGACGUUAGCGACAGAAGAAGCACCGGCUAACUCCGUGCCAGCAGCCGCGGUAAUACGGAGGGUGCGAGCGUUAAUCGGAAUUACUGGGCGUAAAGGGCACGCAGGCGGUUAAUUAAGUUGGAUGUGAAAUCCCCGGGCUUAACCUGGGAAUGGCAUUCAAGACUGGUUAGCUAGAGUCUUGUAGAGGGGGUAGAAUUCCAUGUGUAGCGGUGAAAUGCGUAGAGAUGUGGAGGAAUACCGGUGGCGAAGGCGGGCCCCUGGACAAAGACUGACGCUCAUGUGCGAAAGCGUGGGGAGCAAACAGGGAUUAGAUACC
rnacentral:rRNA from 1 species